GUACUUACUCCUACGGGAGGCAGCAGUGGGGAAUUUUGCACAAUGGGGGAAACCCCGAUGCAGCGACGCCGCGUGAUUUAGAAGGCCUUCGGGUUGUAGAAAUCUUUUGUAUAGGAAGAAAAUGACAGUACUAUACGAAUAAGGACCGGCUAAUUACGUGCCAGCAGCCGCGGUAAUACGUAAGGUCCGAGCGUUGUCCGGAGUCAUUGGGCGUAAAGGGUACGUAGGCGGGUGAGCAAGUUAGAAGUGAAAUCCUAUAGCUCAACUAUAGUAAGCUUUUAAAACUGCUCAUCUUGAGGUAUGGAAGGGAAAGUGGAAUUCCUAGUGUAGCGGUGAAAUGCGCAGAUAUUAGGAGGAAUACCGGUGGCGAAGGCGACUUUCUGGCCAUAAACUGACGCUGAGGUACGAAAGCGUGGGUAGCAAACAGGAUUAGAUACCCGGGUAGUCCAGGCAU
rnacentral:rRNA from 1 species